UGUACAAAGGUAGCAUAAUCAUUUGUCUCUUAAUUGGAGUCUGGAAUGAAUGGUUGGAUGAAAAAUUUACUUUCUUUAUUUUAUAUAUAGAAUUUAAUAUCUGUAUUAAAAAGUAUAGGUUUUAUUAAAGGACGAGAAGACCCUAUAGAACUUUUAUUUAUUUAUUAAUAAUUAUUUUUUUGAUAAUAGUUUUUAUUUAUUAAUAAAUAAAUUUUGUUGGGGUGACAAAAAAAAUUGGAUAACUUUUUUUAUUUAUUUCACUUUUAUGUGAUAUUUUGAUCCUUUAUUAAAGAUUAUAAGAUCAAGUUACCUUAGGGAUAACAGCGUUAUUAUUUUAGAGAGUUCAUAUUGAUAAAAUAGUUUGCGACCUCGAUGUUGGAUUAAAAUAAGGUUCAGGGGUAGAAGAUUGAAUACUAGGUCUGUUCGACCUUUAAAUUUUUACA
rnacentral:rRNA from 1 species